GGGUCAGCGCAUAAACGGCGUACCGGUUUCGCAAUUAUAAAUCUCUGGAGGCGCACAUCCGAUUAACCAAUGGUUGGGUACAAGAUUUGGCUAUUUUUAGACUCCACGUUGUGAAUACGUCCUCAUUCAAACAAAGGGGUUGGAACCAGCUAUUAAAAUGGUCAUCACCAGACCAAGGCUCAAUCGAGUCAUGGAAGGAGGAAUCAGAAAUAAACUGCACAACGACUUGGCUGGUGACCCACUUCACAUCUCCUUGCUAAACACUGGAGAAUCAUGCAAAGACUUUGAUGUAACAGAUUGACCUAUAACAGCAACCGUGGGCAUCAGUGAUGAGAAGACCUGUGUUGAGACAGCAUUGUGAGUACAGGCUGGACCCCACAGAGUGUGUGCAUGUCUGCAGUGAGGAUGAACUCUUCCACCUUGAAAGUACAGACGACAUGGCAAAUAAGAUUGAGACAGCAACAGGAGAACAGGCAGCUGACCAGGAAUGGCAUCAGCUCCACAGGCCAAGAUUACAUCUUCAUAUUUAAGAGGUUUGUUAUAUAAAGGGCGUGAAACUGUGCAGAGAGAAUCCUCAAAGGAACGUGACAGACUGCAGAUGUGAGCACAGGGACAGACAUGGAGUUUAACGCAGCUGGAGAAAACUGCAAAUUGAAAAACUAACGAUAGGCCUCAUGGCCUCGUUGUCCACCCUGACGCUCCCUGGCUUGGUUCCUCACCAGAUGGGUUGAUCUUUGAUCCAUCUGCACUGCCACCGUUUGGACUGCUUGAGAUAAGGUGUCUUUAUGUGAGGAAUUAUGUUCACUUCAGAUACCUUCAACUAAGAAUGGCACCCUGUCUCUCUGUAAAAGUCAGUUGUACCGAUUAUGUUGACACAAAGUUAACAGCAACAUCAGAGAGAGCGUGGACUGGUGUUACUUUCGUGUUCACACGCUGAUGCACUUCUCUCUUACAGUUUUUUCUGAAUGCUUAAACCCUAACUGUGAUUC